rnacentral:rRNA from 1 species
AGAGACGAGUCAGAGUUUGAUCCUGGCUCAGGAUGAACGCUGGCGGCGUGCCUAAUACAUGCAAGUAGAACGCUGAAGCUUGGUGCUUGCACCGAGCGGAUGAGUUGCGAACGGGUGAGUAACGCGUAGGUAACCUGCCUGGUAGCGGGGGAUAACUAUUGGAAACGAUAGCUAAUACCGCAUAACAACAGUUGUUGCAUGACAGCUGUUUGAAAGGGGCAAUUGCUCCACUACCAGAUGGACCUGCGUUGUAUUAGCUAGUUGGUGAGGUAACGGCUCACCAAGGCGACGAUACAUAGCCGACCUGAGAGGGUGAUCGGCCACACUGGGACUGAGACACGGCCCAG